CUACAUAAACUGUUAUAGGCCAAAGCACACUUUGUAACUCUAGUCCAGAAAUAUCACAGGCACAGUAAAUAGAUGAAAAUGCAGCCUGCGAUUUUGACUGGACUGAGCAGGAAGGGCUUAACUGUAUUUCUGUAAAAUAUCUAUCUGUUAUUAAGUUAUCAUUAAUUCUUUGUCUCUUGUUCUGCAGGCAGAAGAACAGUUUAAAGAAUUUUCUUUCCUCUGCCAUGUCGGCUGCAGAAGCUGGAGCCUACCAUCAUGACAAAUUGAUGCCGGAGGAAAAUUUUAUUGAACAAUUAAAGCUGAUGCAGCAAUAAUCCCACUGCUCAUCAGGUCCAGUACUUGUUUCAAAUCUUGCUUAGCGAAAAUUUGGGCCAGCUUUUGAUCCAUUUCUUAAGCUUAUGGAAAAAAUACCAUUAAUUCUUCUGGAUCCAAAAUUUUUCUGGAGAAAGUGCAACGAUUUACAAUUGUUAACCAACAAAGAUGCAAUCUCAAAUGUUGAAGUCAGCUGAAGAAAUAAUAGUUAUUGGCUCUACAACAAACUGUGAGACUGCAAAAUCUACUGUUAUAGUCACUUUGAAUGUUACUAAUGCAGUUACCAGCUGUUUUUAUGACUGAUGAUUCUACUGCUGAAAAGAAAGCUUUGAGCUGGGUAUGGCCAUCCUCAAAGCAACGACUUUGUAAAUUUCUUGUGGCACAAGCUCAAUGGAGAUGGCUAUUUCCAUCUAGUAUACCCCCUGGGAAUGUCAGCGCCUAAUGGCACUUUUUUAUUUAGACUUAGAUCUACAGUUCUGCUGUUGUUAAAAUCAGGAAACAACAUUGAUUGAGACGACUUAUUAAAUCACAGUACAGUGGAGUCUCAACUUACACAAGGUAUGCAGUCCAAGACCCCUCACAAGGAAAAGGG